CCUACGGGGGGCUGCAGUGGGGAAUAUUGGACAACGGGGGCAACCCUGAUCCAGCCAUGCCGCGUGUGUGAAGAAGGCCCUCGGGUUGUAAAGCACUUUCAGUGAGGAAGAACGCCUGGUGGUUAAUACCCAUCAGGAAAGACAUCACUCACAGAAGAAGCACCGGCUAACUCCGUGCCAGCAGCCGCGGUAAUACGGAGGGUGCGAGCGUUAAUCGGAAUUACUGGGCGUAAAGCGCGCGUAGGUGGCUUGAUAAGCCGGUUGUGAAAGCCCCGGGCUCAACCUGGGAACGGCAUCCGGAACUGUCAAGCUAGAGUGCAGGAGAGGAAGGUAGAAUUCCCGGUGUAGCGGUGAAAUGCGUAGAGAUCGGGAGGAAUACCAGUGGCGAAGGCGGCCUUCUGGACUGACACUGACACUGAGGUGCGAAAGCGUGGGUAGCAAACAGGAUUAGAUACCCCGGUAGUC
rnacentral:rRNA from 1 species